rnacentral:rRNA from 1 species
UACGGAGGGUGCAAGCGUUAUCCGGAUUCACUGGGUUUAAAGGGUGCGUAGGUGGGUCUGUAAGUCAGUGGUGAAAUCUCCGAGCUUAACUUGGAAACUGCCAUUGAUACUAUAGGUCUUGAAUACUGUGGAGGUCAGCGGAAUAUGUCAUGUAGCGGUGAAAUGCUUAGAUAUGACAUAGAACACCAAUUGCGAAGGCAGCUGGCUACACAAAUAUUGACACUGAGGCACGAAAGCGUGGGGAUCAAACAGA